AUUCCUACGGGGGGCAGCAGUGGGGAAUAUUGGGCAAUGGGCGCAAGCCUGACCCAGCGACGCCGCGUGCGGGAUGGAGGCCUUCGGGUUGUAAACCGCUUUUGUUCAAGGGCAAGGCACGGUCUUUGGCCGUGUUGAGUGGAUUGUUCGAAUAAGCACCGGCUAACUACGUGCCAGCAGCCGCGGUAAUACGUAGGGUGCAAGCGUUAUCCGGAUUUAUUGGGCGUAAAGGGCUCGUAGGCGGUUCGUCGCGUCCGGUGUGAAAGUCCAGCGCUUAACGGUGGAACCGCGACGGGUACGGGCGG
rnacentral:rRNA from 1 species